UGGUGGAAUAUAUAUAAAAUACAUUUGACUUGUUAAUUUAACGUAAAUUUCGUAAUAAAAAUGGAGUUCGGACUUCGGGAAUUACUACCACCUGAUCGCUAAAAGGUCAAAGAUUCGAAAACAAAAUGAUUAAAACUUUGGAUAAAACAUUUUAUAAGUAUCGUUUGGUGGAAUAUAUAUAAUAUACAUUUGACUUGUAAAAGAGUAAACAUGUCUAUCAUUUUUACAAUUCUCUAUUUUAUGUAUACGCUUCUGGAUCGAAUAUCUUAAAAUUGCCGAGGUUCCAUGCUAUACAUUUUUUUGCCACAUGUGGUUGUGUUGCAUGCUAUUAACGAAAUUCAUAUACAUUGUCACCUAUGUAAUGUUGAAGCUAGAUGUUUU
rnacentral:lncRNA from 1 species